AAGAUCUUUGGAGGCGUAUCCAAACCGUAGGUUCCAACCUCUACGUUAGUCUAUAUCAUCUUUCCGAUAAAGUAAUACGUACAGCGUAUAUGUAUUAGACCUUUAACGGUUCCUUCGAAACAACCGACUAUAUGUAUUAGACUUUUAACGGUUCCUUCGAAACAACCGACUAUAUGUAUUAGACUUUUAACGGUUCCUUCGAAACAACCGACUAUUUCUGGAAUCUCGUAGACGACGAUUUCCUGUGAGUCCUUUCAGCUGAGACCUUCUACUAUAUAGAAUGGAACGAUCUUACAGCAGAGCUCAGGUCUUCUUCACACUUCUUGACUUCGUUCGUUACAGUUGGGGUUCGCUGCCGUACCUAUUAUAAUACUUCUCCCACCAGAGCGUCCGUUCAGUACUCGUCUUAGAAUUCUUAUGAUACCGUUCUUGACGUAGAAACUGAACAAGUGUCUACUGUGCUAGUUUGUUGUCAAAGGUAAGGGGUUGAUACAGUUGCCGUCGUGGUUCUCCUUCGUGACCUUCAUCGCAUUGGCUGAAACUCUAACAACCGUCUCUGUACUUUGUUCGAUUUCUACUCAGCUAGAGGAUGCUUGGAAGAGGUUUCUCUGAACGCUUUGGUAAAACCCGCAAUGACAUCAUCAUGAAGAAUUCGUUUUGAGUAUGAGGG
rnacentral:rRNA from 1 species